CAAGGAUGAUCUUCCUUCACUCAAUUACAGGUUCUUACGAUCGAAGGGAACAUUUUAUCGAUCAAAAUAAAAGAAGAGGGAUACAUGAGUGGUAUUGAAGGAACUAAAUAAUCUGCAGGAAAGACUUUGCCUUCCCAAGGGAGGCAAGCGGAUGAAGACUACAAACUUAUGUGUAUCAAGCUCGCUCUGCUAUGGAAACCGAUUGGCGUCUGGAACAUCACGCCUUUGGGCAAGGGUUUCUUCGAGUUAUCCUUUGCCUGGAGUGUGGACAGUUGGUGGCUUAGUGCGUGGAAUCUCAAUCCGAGACUUCUCCGUCUUUCUUUCUAAGUUGGGAUAUGCGUUUAUGAUUUUCCGCCUGAAUAUUGGAGACUGAGAAUCUUUUUGAGAUUGCUGCAUGAUUGCUCAUUACUAUCCAUGAAUCUACUAGAAACAAAACUUAUAGUUACUUUGCUAGGGUUUAGUGGAUGUUGAUUUGUCUAGAAAAUAUUUAAGUUAUCUCUUGGUGGUGCGUGAAAACUUUGAAUCUUUUGUGUGUACUGAAUAUGAAUCAUUUCCUUCCUUUUGUACCAAGUGUGUUGGUCAAUUAAUACAUCA
rnacentral:lncRNA from 1 species